rnacentral:misc_RNA from 1 species
AGUUACAUUUUGUAUAUUUUCCAUUUGUCACGAAAGUGCAUUUUACAGAAUAUGGACUUUCAAAACAGAAAUUCCCUGAACGUUCGAUUAAACAGAGUCUCGGGUAACCUGUUACCGAUGACUAGCAACGAUUCUCCGUUCCCUGUAGCGUGGAGAAUAUACAGCGCCGUUAUAUGGCUGAUCGAAACAAUUUAUAUUAGCGCAAUAAUUCCCGGAAUCUUAUACGUGCCAAUAGAUAAAGCUUUGCGGGAUGGAACGGUCGGCAUGGUGGUUAUCAUAGAAGUGUUUUUUUUAUUAAGACAAAUGCAUGUGCACAGAGAUCUUGUAACUCAACUGAUUCAAAAACUAAAUGAAAUUCUGCGCGUUGGGGAUAAGACAAUGAAGUUUAUCGUGGAUUCGACCUUAAGACCGGUAGAUGUUCCUCUCAAAUUUUAUUGCAUAGCUGGGACUAUAUCUCUUGCAAUGUGGUGCUGUAUAUCUUUUGCGUCGAUUUUGAAGAAGAAAUAUUUUUUCUAUGAGGAUUAUAGGGUACCAAUAGUUCUCUCGAAGCAACCAUUCUCGAUAGAAAUCUUUCUAUUGGGAAAUUGUAUCGUGACUAUUGCUAGCGUGUAUAUAUUUAUAAAAAAGGUUGCUUUGAACGUCUACAUGAUAAAUCUAGUAUUACUAGUAACAGCACAAUAUCGCUACAUCGCGGUGAAGCUCGCAACGAUAUUUCGAGAAAAUAUUCUACAGAGUCAACACGAUGAAUUCGAAAAGGAAUAUUCUAAUGUAAAUUCAUUGGCGAUUCUGAAACUGAAGGCAUUAUGUCGACAUCACAAUGCUAUAGUACGAAUAACUUUAAUGCUAAAGAAAUUGCUAUCUUUAAAUAUGAGUCUAAUAUAUUUGACAAAUGUUUUUAUUCUUUGUUUUCUCGAUGUCAUGCUGAUAAGUGCAGUGAGUAAUAUUUGAUAACGGUAUUAACAUUUUCUAGUUAUACAUGAUUGAAGGUAGAUUUAUGAUACUAUAACGAUAUGUAUGUAAUCUAGAUAUUAUCGAUGGAUUUUCUAGAAGGAAUUAUGAUUGUUAUGUAUAUAUCUGGUGCUCUAGUUGAGCUUUAUAUUUUAUGUUUAUGCGUUAAUCAAUUAUUAGACGCGAGCGUAGAAAUAACAGACAAGGCAUUCCAUGAAGAAUGGUAUCAGUAUGAAUCAUCAUUAAAACAUAUGUUCAGAAUGAUGAUAAUAACUAAUAAUUUAGGAUGUAAACUUUCAGUUUCUGAUAAGUUUAAUCUGUCUUUGCCUUCACUCAUGACGGUAAGACUUAAUAUAUUACUUAUAUUGAACACGUAUGACGACAUCAAUCAUAUAAAUUAUUUUCUCAAUGUUUUAAAAAUUAUUUACAUUGUAGUUAAUAUAUAAUAUUAAUCAAAUAAUAAUAUAAGAAGGGUCAAUAAAUGAGCUGAUUCAAAAUAAUAUAUAAGAGUGUUUGUACUUUAUUAAAAAGGCAUUAAUGAGUACAAUUUUUAUUAGACAAGUUUACUUUUACUCAUUAAUGUCUUUUCAAUAAAGUACAAACACUCAUAUUAUUUUGAAUAAGGUUAUUUAUUGACUCAGAAUAUUUUGAAAGCUAGUAAUUAUUUUAUUUCGUAUAAUUUCUAUUAGACAAAUUUAUUUUUACUUAUUAAUGUCUUUUUAAUAAAGUACAAACAUUCUUAUAUUAUUUUGAAUUAGCUCGUUUAUUGACCCUUUUUAUAUUAUUAUUUGCAGUGUAUUACCGAGCCUUAUUAUUUUGAUCUUUACAUAUAAUAUUAAUAUUAUUAGCGCUUACUUUUUUCCAAAUUUUCUCUUGUUUCUUACAGAUUUUGAAUCAGUCAUAUUCGUUUGCUCUUCUGUUUUUAAGAAUAAAGUAAAAACUUACGAGGUAUGAUUCUCCUGUUUGGUGCAAAUAUUUUUGUUAUAUCUGUUAUAUUUUGUGCUUUUUUAAUCUUCAAUGACACUUUAUAAACGCUUAUAUGUGGCAAACAAUUUAUAUUGGUACUAAAUGAUAUAUGUUUUGUUUUAGUUCUAAAGAACAGCAGAAUUUAAUUAAAAUUAAUAAUUAAGUAGUAAUCCAAAUAUUAUGUAUAUAAUUUAUAAAUGUAUAUAUAUUUAUAUAUAUAAGUGUAUACUCAGGUAUAGAGUAAAAAUAAAAAUUUAAUCAACUACGAAAUAUUUUAUAUCUUUACCACGGUUCUUCAUACUUAAUAUCAAAUGUUGAAGAGAAAUAAAUAUUUAAGUUAUCCACAAAUUGUUUUGCUUAUAUUAUAAUAUUUAUACUGUUUACAUGAUAAAAAUUACAUUAUUAGUUUUAUAAUUUUAAUUGCGUAAUUUUACAAGUUUAUCAUUAACAGCAGUGUAAUAUUGUUAGAGAAAAUAGGUAUUUAUUUUAAUACCACAUAGUAAAACAUAUUUUAAUAUUGUGAAAUACACCGCGAACACGCUGCAGAUUUUGUUAGCAUUACUGACACAGUUUUAUAUACAAUUUGCUCUAAGAAUUAUUUUAGUCGUUUUCUAACGACAAAAUACGUAUUAAACAGCAUUAACAACAGAUACUGCGACUUCUUCGCAAUUCACAGUCUUGCGAUGAAGCCAUGCGCGGAAUUAAGAAAGUACUAUAAGAUAAUCAUUGCUGUGUGAACGCGGAUAG